CCUACGGGCGGCUGCAGUGGGGAAUAUUGGACAAUGGGCGAAAGCCUGAUCCAGCCAUGCCGCGUGUGUGAAGAAGGCCUUCGGGUUGUAAAGCACUUUCAGUGGGGAAGAAAGCCUUGGGGCUAAUACCCUCGAGGAAGGACAUCACCCACAGAAGAAGCACCGGCUAACUCCGUGCCAGCAGCCGCGGUAAUACGGAGGGUGCGAGCGUUAAUCGGAAUUACUGGGCGUAAAGCGCGCGUAGGCGGUCUGAUAAGCCGGUUGUGAAAGCCCCGGGCUCAACCUGGGAACGGCAUCCGGAACUGUCAGGCUAGAGUGCAGGAGAGGAAGGUAGAAUUCCCGGUGUAGCGGUGAAAUGCGUAGAGAUCGGGAGGAAUACCAGUGGCGAAGGCGGCCUUCUGGACUGACACUGACGCUGAGGUGCGAAAGCGUGGGUAGCAAACAGGAUUAGAUACCUUGUAGUC
rnacentral:rRNA from 1 species